UGAAUUUAUUGUUGCUCCAAUUCCGAUGUGGGCCUCCUUAAGCUAAACAGGUCUAUGAAAAAUAAAUACUUCUUGUUUCGAUCAUGUACAGGCGUGUAAGAAUUGAAUGAAUGAAUAAUUCCCAUUUGAAGGGGUGAGAAAAGCAGGGAAGCGUGACUGUCUUAUCUUCAGUGCUGAUAGUGUAGUGUGUGGGGGCAGAUAGAUGUUUUUAAGGGAAGGGAUUAAGAGCAUGUAUGUUCACACGUUUUGUUCACAUACAUGUGUGUCUGCGUGUGUGUGUGUGCUGCGCCACUGCAGGAGGAUUAAAACGAGGCUAAUCUCCUCUUGUUCUUCCUCCCUUCUUCUCCUUCUCCUUCUUCUUCUCGGCUGUUUAGAUGCCGCAGCUGCCAGCUUGCGCUUUAUUCAUGAGCGCGAGGGUCCGAGGUGGCAGCUGUUUGUUUACGCGUUCCCACGACUCGCCGCCAAUUAAGCAUCUUCACUCCGUCAGCCGCUUGUCUGUUCCCAUUAGGAGAUUCCCCAGCAGACGCCCCCGGGUCUCCUUCCAUGAGGCCUCCUCCACUUGGGCCUCUUCUGCAAGGCCUCGACAGCUUCUUCUCCUCACCGAGAUCCUUCUCCUUCCACUGGCCCACUGCAUCACCAACCCGAUGGAAGUGACAGCGAAAGGAAAAAUCGAGGAAUGCAUUUACAAUAAUAAUAAGGUCGUCCAAACUUUGGUCCAUCACGACGCCGACGAAGACGACUUGUUUGCGGCCGCAUUAACAUGACAAAGCACCUCCAACCCGGCGCACUUAUUUGAACUUUGAACUCCGCCUUUGUGCCGGCCAGACAGCAAAUUGUCGCGGCGGCUCUCCCCUUAGUCAAGUCAUUUAAUAGCAAAGUCAAUUCCCAUACACCCCCCACCCCCCCAAAAACAUCAC